rnacentral:rRNA from 1 species
UACGGAGGGUGCGAGCGUUAAUCGGAAUCACUGGGCGUAAAGCGCGCGUAGGCGGCCCGUUAAGUCGGAUGUGAAAGCCCCGGGCUCAACCUGGGAACUGCAUUCGGUACUGGCGGGCUAGAGUCCGGUAGAGGGGGGUAGAAUUCCAGGUGUAGCGGUGAAAUGCGUAGAUAUCUGGAGGAAUACCGGUGGCGAAGGCGGCCCCCUGGACCGAGACUGACGCUGAGGUGCGAAAGCGUGGGGAGCAAACAGG